rnacentral:rRNA from 1 species
ACUGGGCGUAAAGGGCACGCAGGCGGUGACUUAAGUGAGGUGCGAAAGCCCCGGGCUUAACCUGGGAAUUGCAUUUCAUACUGGGUCGCUAGAGUACUUUAGGGAGGGGUAGAAUUCCACGUGUAGCGGUGAAAUGCGUAGAGAUGUGGAGGAAUACCGAUGGCGAAGGCAGCCUCCUGGGAUAACACUGACGUUCAUGCUCGAAAGCGUGGGUAGCAAACAGGAUUAGAUACCCUGGUAGUCCACGCCCUAAACGAUGUCAAUUAGCUGUUGGGCAACUUGAUUGCUUAGUAGCGUAGCUAACGCGUGAAAUUGACCGCCUGGGGAGUACGGUCGCAAGAUUAAAACUCAAAGGAAUUGACGGGGACCCGCACAAGCGGUGGAUGAUGUGGAUUAAUUCGAUGCAACGCGAAGAACCUUACCUGGUCUUGACAUGUACGGAAUCCUCCAGAGACGGAGGAGUGCCUUCGGGAACCGUAACACAGGUGCUGCAUGGCUGUCGUCAGCUCGUGUCGUGAG